rnacentral:rRNA from 1 species
CAGUAGCCGCGGGAAUACGUAGGGUGCGAGCGUUAAUCGGAAUUACUGGGCGUAAAGCGGGCGCAGACGGUUACUUAAGCAGGAUGUGAAAUCCCCGGGCUCAACCUGGGAACUGCGUUCAGAACCGGGUGACUAGAGUGUGUCAGAGGGAGGUAGAAUUCCACGUGUAGCAGUGAAAUGCGUAGAGAUGUGGAGGAAUACCGAUGGCGAAGGCAGCCUCCUGGGAUAACACUGACGUUCAUGCCCGAAAGCGUGGGUAGCAAACAGGAUUAGAUACCCCCGUAGUCCCUGUCUCUUAUAC